rnacentral:rRNA from 1 species
GAUGAACGCUGGCGGCGUGCCUAACACAUGCAAGUCGAGCGGAAAGACGCGGAUCUUGCUCCUCUGAUGUCGGCGGCGGGCGGGUCACUUAAAUGAGGUUACCUUGACUUCAGGACUAGUUUAAGUUACGGGGGCCAAUGCCAGUACCGGAUCAUAUAUUGAACGUGGGGGUUCAACAGUGUAAGCGGUUUUUGAUGUCCCUUAGACGUAUUAGCUAGUUGGUUGGGUAACGGCUUACCAUGGCUACGAUGCGUAGCCGACCUGAGAGGGCGACCUGCCACACUGGAACUGAGACACGGUCCAGACUCCUACGGGAGGCAGCAGUAGGGAAUCUUGGGCAAUGGGCGGAAGCCUGACGGAGCAACGCCGCGUGAGUGAAGAAGGUCUUCGGAUCGUAAAACUCUGUUAGUGGGGAAGAACAAAUGUGUAAGUAGCUAUGCACGUCUUGACGGUACCUACACAAAAAGCCCCGGCUAACUACGUG